rnacentral:rRNA from 1 species
CCUACGGGAGGCAGCAGUGAGGAAUAUUGGUCAAUGGCCGCAGGGCUGAACCAGCCAAGUCGCGUGAGGGAUGACGGUCCUAUGGAUUGUAAACCUCUUUUGUCAGGGAGCAAAGGGCGCCACGUGUGGCGCUUUGCGAGUACCUGAAGAAAAAGCAUCGGCUAACUCCGUUCCAGCAGCCGCGGUAAUACGGAGGCUGCGAGCGUUAUCCGGAUUUAUUGGGUUUAAAGGGUGCGCAGGCGGAAUGUCAAGUCAGCGGUAAAAUUUCGGGGCUCAACCCCGUCGUGCCGUUGAAACUGGCGUUCUUGAGUGAGCGAGAAGUAUGCGGAAUGCGUGGGGUAGCGGUGAAAUGCAUAGAUAUCACGCAGAACUCCGAUUGCGAAGGCAGCAUACCGGCGCUCAACUGACGCUCAUGCACGAAAGCGUGGGUAUCGAACAGGAUUAGAUACCCCAGUAGUC